GACGAACGCUGGCGGCGCGCUCUAACACAUGCAAGUUCGAAACGAGCGAGAGAAAGCUUCGCUUUUCUCGAGCGAGCGGCGAAACGGGUGAGUAACGCGCGAGGAAACCUGCCUCAAAGAGGGGGAACAACAGUUCGGAAACGACUGCUAAUACCGCAUAAGCCCACGGCUCGGCAUCGAGCAGAGGGAAAAGGAGCAAUCCGCUUUGAGAUGGCCUCGCGUCCGAUUAGCUAGUUGGUGAGGUAACGGCCCACCAAGGCGACGAUCGGUAGCCGGACUGAGAGGUUGAACGGCCACAUUGGGACUGAGACACGGCCCAGACUCCUACGGGAGGCAGCAGUGGGGAAUAUUGCACAAUGGGGGAAACCCUGAUGCAGCGACGCCGCGUGGAGGAAGAAGGUCUUCGGAUUGUAAACUCCUGUUGUUGGGGAAGAUAAUGACGGUACCCAACGAGGAAGUGACGGCUAACUACGUGCCAGCAGCCGCGGUAAAACGUAGGUCACAAGCGUUGUCCGGAAUUACUGGGUGUAAAGGGAGCGCAGGCGGGAAGACAAGUUGGAAGUGAAAUCUAUGGGCUCAACCCAUAAACUGCUUUCAAAACUGUUUUUCUUGAGUAGUGCAGAGGUAGGCGGAAUUCCCGGUGUAGCGGUGGAAUGCGUAGAUAUCGGGAGGAACACCAGUGGCGAAGGCGGCCUACUGGGCACCAACUGACGCUGAGGCUCGAAAGUGUGGGUAGCAAACAGGAUUAGAUACCCUGGUAGUCCACACCGUAAACGAUGAUUACUAGGUGUUGGAGGAUUGACCCCUUCAGUGCCGCAGUUAACACAAUAAGUAAUCCACCUGGGGAGUACGACCGCAAGGUUGAAACUCAAAGGAAUUGACGGGGGCCCGCACAAGCAGUGGAGUAUGUGGUUUAAUUCGACGCAACGCGAAGAACCUUACCAAGUCUUGACAUCCCUUGACGAUGCUGGAAACAGUAUUUCUCUUCGGAGCAAGGAGACAGGUGGUGCAUGGUUGUCGUCAGCUCGUGUCGUGAGAUGUUGGGUUAAGUCCCGCAACGAGCGCAACCCUUAUGGUCAGUUACUACGCAAGAGGACUCUGGCCAGACUGCCGUUGACAAAACGGAGGAAGGUGGGGAUGACGUCAAAUCAUCAUGCCCUUUAUGACUUGGGCUACACACGUACUACAAUGGCGUUAAACAAAGAGAAGCAAGACCGCGAGGUGGAGCAAAACUCAGAAACAACGUCCCAGUUCGGACUGCAGGCUGCAACUCGCCUGCACGAAGUCGGAAUUGCUAGUAAUCGUGGAUCAGCAUGCCACGGUGAAAUACGUUCCCGGGCCU
rnacentral:rRNA from 1 species